GACGAACGCUAGCGGCAGGCUUAAUACAUGCAAGUCGUGGGGCAGCAUGAGUAGCAAUACUUGAUGGCGACCGGCAAACGGGUGAGGAACACGUACACAACCUUCCUUCAAGCGGGGAAUAGCCCAGAGAAAUUUGGAUUAAUACCCCAUAAUAUAUUUGAUAAGGCAUCUUAUUAAUAUUAAAGCUUCGGCACUUGAUGAUGGGUGUGCGGCUGAUUAGAUAGUUGGCGGGGUAACGGCCCACCAAGUCUACGAUCAGUAGCUGAUGUGAGAGCAUGAUCAGCCACACGGGCACUGAGACACGGGCCCGACUCCUACGGGAGGCAGCAGUAAGGAAUAUUGGACAAUGGGACGAAAGUACUGAUCCAGCCAUGCCGCGUGAAGGAUUAAGGUCCUCUGGAUUGUAAACUUCUUUAUAUGGGACGAAAAAAGGGCAUUCUUGUUCACUUGACGGUACCAUAUGAAUAAGCACCGGCUAACUCCGUGCCAGCA
rnacentral:rRNA from 1 species